AUGUGCAAGCAGGACCGGCUUCUCUUCCGGUGCAUCGUGCCCAUGAUUUGUGUCUAUGCCGUGGAGUACCACUUGCCACAGCGCGUUGCCGCACAAUUUGGUAAGGUGCAACACACACCACCAACCGUCAUCGUCCGCGAUACCGGUGGCUACGACCUACACCUGAUGAGCAGGCAGAAGAAUCAAUCAAUCACGGAUUGGGAAGCCGAAAAUGCGAGAUACGUGCAUGAAUGGAACGAGUGGAAAACACGCAAAGACACGGAGAGGAGAGUGAUUGACUGGGACGACUACGAGGAUCACAUGUUGUGGUACGACGAUGGCAUCAAGCAUCGUCUGCGUCUGAGGCCCCAAUGGACGACAGCAGAUGCCGAAGACCUGUUCGAUGAUGCCUCAGAGAAUGAAGCCUACAACGAGAGCAUCAGACAGCUUCAAGGCGGGUUUAGGGAGUACAGACCCCUCAUGAACAGAGUGUCUUCGGAGCUGAACAAAAGCAUUUUUCAUGCCUCUGAUGCGCUUAGUGUUGUCCCUGGGACUCGAGCUAGUGAGAACAAGUUGAGGGAAACGAUGAAGAAAUACGUCAACAAAGCACGCCGGCUUGUGGGCCUACUUGGGUGUGCUACAAACACCGAGGAUGUUUUUCCUCCUGCACCGAUGUGUAGCCUCGCUUCAUCGAGCCAUGCAGCCUCGUCGUCUAGGGCGGCUCAAGAUGACGAGGAGGAGAACGACGACGAUGAUGAUGAUGCAGAGGAAGAGGAAGAAGAGGGCGCAGAAGAAGAGGGCGUCGAAGAAGAACAUGGUGAGGAAGAGGAAGAGCACGAUGAGGAUGAGGAGGAGGAGGAGUACGAUGAUGACGAUGGACCUCCAGUAACUCAGCCAACCGAGCGUGAGAAGAGGAAUAUGCCAAAGAAGGACUGGCAGAGUCCAUCCCCAUUUCAGAAAGCACGUCCUGCGGCCCGCAAGAAGACAACGGCCAAGAAGCGAUCCAAGGAUAACGAGGACCAAAAUUCGAAGAGGGGAAGGAAGGACUGA
rnacentral:rRNA from 1 species